ensembl:lncRNA
GAUAGAACAACAUUAGGCCCUGCUCCCUGGGCUUCCCCCCUCGGAUGUUACCGUCUGAUGGGGGGGAGAAGAAUGACGCUCUGUGCAAACCCCUGCAUGAAACCAUUCAUAGCACCUCGGCCCCAGCCUCGCUGGGAGAGAGCCGGCAGCAACUGGCCUACAGUGGGUAGAACAGAACCGGUACUGAUGCGGUCCCUGCCGUCCCAAACACCACACAACACCAUUAUUGAUCUACGCUCGCUGGACAGGACGGUCCCGCCGAGAGAAUGCGGCUACUGAUUCAGCGGGAUCCCCCGCUUGCCCGCGCGGACAACGCCACCUCUGAUUCGAAAACCUGGAGCCGGGACGUUUGCAGAAGUCAGUCGGACUCAGGGUUGGCUAGGUCUACAGCUGCACAGGGCAAAUCCAGACGAUCCAUAAUGAUCAACAAACCGGUGUAACCUCCCUGCUGUCCGUGCGUCUGUCCUUUGUGCCGGCCCGAACAGCAGGUCAGUGAGUAGCCUAGGGUAGGGCCAGGAAUGGAAGGGAUGGAACCAGAUUCCUGGCAGCGGCAACAACGUUCCUCUCAGUCAUGGCGAGACUCACCAGGGACCUUUGCUAGAGGGCUGGACGCUGCUCAAGUACUGGAUCUGUUCAAAAGCUUUCCUUCUUGAAAAUGCCGAGAGCCAAGGAACCCGGAGCCAUCCAGCCUCCGUUUCUCACAGCCUCUCUGUUUCCUCACACUCUCUACAUAAACAACCACCAACAGCCUCC